UUUGCCUCGAGUUCAGGUUGGAGGUCGAUUGUUGAUAUAGACUCGAAUGUUCCGACCUUGAGUGGAAACCUUGAAGGGAACAAUCAGGUUUAAUUCGAUAUCGGAUUUCUCGAGUUGUUGGGAUUCCUUGCUUGAAUGGGUUUGCCAUGUCCGAUGAAUCGGUUGCACUCAGAUUGCCCCAUCACCGAUCUUCCCCUUGUUGCUGCUGCUCAGCAUAAGCAUCAGUAAAACACCACGAACUCUAAGGGUCUAGCAAGGUACAAUUCUUCUCCCCCCAGCAAGUUCCAGGAGAUCAAUUGCCGAACUUUUCAUACUGCGGACGGGAUCCUUCAAAUCCCUCUCCAGGCUCCCGCCGAUCUCCCUGCUGAUUCCCAAGUCCUUGCAUCUGCUGGAGAGGACUAAAUCUCUUUUUCUUUUUUUUGUUAAUUGGAACAGGAGAGAAAGAAAGAGUAAAAGGGAGAGAAAGAAAGACUAGAAAAAGGGGACGGAAGUAAAAGAGAAACGGAAGAAAGGGGAAAAUAAAAUAAAAAAGCAUGAAGCAAUAAAUAAUGACACGCCGGAUGAUAUCGUCCAUUUCUUGACGAAAGAGAGACGGAAUGGCUUCUUAGGUGCGCCUUAUAAUGGUGAAGGGUUCAUGAGAUGUAAAAAAAAA